rnacentral:pre_miRNA from 1 species
UCUUAAAAGUUUCUUCCAUUUGUACCCUUAAAAACUGGCAUGACUGAAAGAAUAAUUAAACAGUGAUACGUAGCAUGCUAUUGUACCUCAUGCUGAUGUAUAGAGUAGUUUUGAAUUGCAAAAAUGGAUGAAAUUUUGACA